rnacentral:rRNA from 1 species
AAAGUACUUUCAGCAGUGAGGAAGGUGUUGUCGUUAAUAGCGGCAUCAUUUGACGUUUAGCUGCAGAAGAAGCACCGGCUAACUCCGUGCCAGCAGCCGCGGUAAUACGGAGGGUGCGAGCGUUAAUCGGAAUUACUGGGCGUAAAGACGCAUGCAGGUGGUUUGUUAAGUUCAGAUGUGAAAGACCCGGGGCGUCAACCUCCGGAAAUUGCAUUUGUAAACUAGGCAGACUAGAGUACUGUAGAGGGGGGUAGGAAGUUUCAGGUGUAGCGGUGAAAUAGCGUAGAGAUCUGAAGGAAUACCGGUGGCGAAGGCGGCCCCCUCGGACAGAUACUGACACUCAGAUGCGAAAGCGUGGGGAGCAAACAGGAUUAGAUACCCUGGUAG